CAAAUUCGCACAACGUAGGAUUUGAUGUAUGCGACGGUCAAUAGUCUUCCUUUUGGGUUCCGACCACCACAAGAUCCAUUCCAUUCUUUGGGCGGCAUUGGCAGUGAGCACACCACCAACCACCACGCACCGCAUUCUCCAUCCACACACUUCCGUCCGUAGUUUCUUCCUCUUUCUUGCCUCCAAAAAGUUUGGCUGCCUCUGACUGAACGGUGAUCAGUGAACCUCUAAAACUUAUCUUCUCGCUAAAACUUGGUCAGAUAACUACAAAAUGUCUUCAUCUGGAAAAAUCGCACCCGCUCUCACCCUGGGAGGAAGAUUUUGGAGGCUUCAAAAGGAGGCUGGACUAGUUGUCAAGUCCCAAGUGUCCGCAUCCUUCGGAUCGGCAGGCACUGCGGGUGGGAAAAUGACGACCAAUUCAUUUUCUCACAAGGCUUCCAGUAGUAACACCACCAGCUCAACCUGGGGAUCCAAAAAAUCUUUUUGAUAACAACAUCGAUCAAUAAUUUGGCUCAAAAUCAAAGAAUUCUCAACUUAACCCGUCCAUUCACUGUUAUCCUUUAGCAUCUCCCAUCGAAUAAGAUAUACUAUAAUCUACUAUACACUAUAAGGCAUCUCCUUUCUGCAACAAAAAACUGGUUCAUCAUUAGACGAUUUAAUUGAUGCAUUCCUUCUACAAAAUUUCAUUUUCAAAAACUACCAUGGACUUAUUUUUUAAAUAUUCAUUUUUCAAAGUUUGUUUAAUGAAAUACUAGUUAAUUAUUGCUAUAUACUCUAAAUAUGAAUUUCUCAGUACAUGACGCUCUGGGUGUGAUAAUUUUCAGUCAGUUUGUGAUGGUAGCUUUAAUGCCCGUGAAAUGAACCAGUAUAGAAUCACUUACCUUAUAAAAUAGUUUAAAAAUUAAUUACCUACUGGUAGUUUCUACAAGUGGUAGAAAGUAUUUUUUUACAGUCGUAUCAGUGUCAUUUGACUGGAAUGGAAUUUGUAUAAUACUUCCGGUGGUGAUAUCCUUUCAAUUGAAUAUGAACUUGAAUUUGUAAAUGUAACAGUUUGCUACUUUUUUAUUGAAUCGAUUGAAUAGUACGAUGGUUGAAAUUAACUUGUAAUAAACAUAACCUGUAAUAUAUUCAUGACGAAA